ensembl:lncRNA
CCUUCCUCUUGGAGCCCUUCUGUGAGCCCAGGAUAUGGUUACGCACCCUGCACAAGGAAUGCAGGACCGCUGCCCUCUGUGUCACCGCAUGGAGCACUGCCUGCGUUCCAACAUGGCACCCAACUCCCCCAGAGGAAAUUCCCAUCUGCCUCCAAGUGGCCAGCUUCUUUCUCGGGCUCUGCACACAGCUCCACAUGGUUUCAUUUUCCUCACCAGCAACAAUAAAUCUGUUUGGGAGAGCGGCUGCUGGGGGGGGAUCUGAGGGCGGUGGGACAGCCCUGCAGCCCACGUGGGGUGGCUGUGCUGGCAGCUCACAAACAAACCCAGCUCUGUCCCAGGGCUCUGCAGAGUGGGGGCAUCGUGGGGCUCUGCUCCUUCCUGCCGCAUCCUCAGCUCUGGCAACAAGAAAUGAAUCUCUGUGGAGCUCAUGGCCCUACAGCUCUGGGAGGUGGCACUUCAAUAAAACUGAUAAAUAAAAGGAACUCGCUGAAAGAAGUUGCUGUGUUAAUGCAGCACAACUGUUCUGCCUCUUUCCUCCCACCCUCUGCCCCCCUGGGUGGAGGUGUAGUCUGAGUGUGCCCGAGGGCACAGACGGG